GGGCGAUUAGCACAGGGGUAGCGCGUUCCCUUCACACGGGAGAGGCCAUUGGUUCAAAUCCAAUAUCGCCCA
rnacentral:tRNA from 2 species